rnacentral:tRNA from 1 species
GAGGGUAUAGUUUAGUGGUAGAGUGCAUGCUUAGCAGGUACAAGGUCCUGGGUUCAACCCCCAGUACCUACA